UCAUGUGAUUUCCCUUCAUAGGGAUGACUAACUUUUUGUACGGGAUCUCAGACGAGGUGAAACAGAGGCACCGGGAACAUCUCUUUGCCGUCUCCAAGGAGAACCUGAUUGAUGCAGCCGCCAAGUACCUGGCUGCUGGGAAGAGCACAAAAGGAUUGACCAUCCUUGGACCAGAAAACCCGGACACUGUCAAAGACCCUUCGUGGGUUAUUCAAUAACGUCUGCUGUUGGGUUGACUUCGGCAACAUCAAACCCAUUCAUGGGGCGACCAACCAAAGUUGAAACUCUGAAACCUCCCUCCGUGCCCGGGUGCUAUCAGGGCAAGGAGCUGUCAGCACGGUGCCAUUUUCAGGGAGCGUCGAACCUGCCAUCAUGGUUUUAUGGAAGAGUCCAUCCUGUGUCUUUCAUAAGAAACUCUUAGGCCUGAACCCGACUGUUCUUCUCCACGGCCAGUACCGCAGUGUAAAAUUCAGUUGCAGGGGCUAAUGAUCAAGGUAUGGGUUGUGUAACUGAGACCUCAUUGACUCCAUGAGGUGCAGCUGUUUCCAUGACUCUCCUAUUGCCCAUGGAAAAAGGAGGAUUUGGUUUUUUCCCCCAAACUUAAGGUCUACAUGACAGCUCUAGUCCAGCUCAAGUCAGGAGUAGCCACGGAAGCCCUUGUUCUAACCAGAGAUGCUUGUUCUACCUGGACACAGUUUUAGCUAGAUCAUGCGCAACACCGUAAUAGUAUCCAAAUGUUUUGGAGAGGCACGAAAUUAAGCUGUCAAGUGAGUUAUCUUAAAUCAUGGUGUUAAUAAAAUGUUUUGAAUGGUAA